CUCGUAGGCGGUUUCGUAAGUCGGAUGUGAAAGCCCUAGGCUUAACCAAGGAAGUGCAUUCGAAACUGUGAGACUUGAGUAUGGGAGAGGGUUGUGGAAUUCUCGGUGUAGAGGUGAAAUUCGUAGAUAUCGGGAGGAACACCAGAGGCGAAGGCGACAACCUGGACCAAUACUGACGCUGAGGAGCGAAAGCGUGGGGAGCAAACAGGAUUAGAUACCCUGGUAGUCC
rnacentral:rRNA from 1 species